rnacentral:rRNA from 1 species
AAUCAACGCUGGCGGCGUGCCUCAGACAUGCAAGUCGAACGAUUAAAGCUCUCUUCGGAGAGUGCAUAGAGUGGCGCACGGGUGAGUAACACGUAAGUAAUCUACCUUCGAGUGGGGAAUAACGUCCGGAAACGGACGCUAAUACCGCAUAAUGCAGCGGCAUCGCAAGAUGACAGUUGUUAAAGAUUUAUCGCUUGAAGAGGAGCUUGCGGCAGAUUAGCUAGUUGGUAAGGUAAUGGCUUACCAAGGCUACGAUCUGUAACCGGUCUUAGAGGACGGUCGGUCACACUGACACUGAAUAACGGGUCAGACUCCUACGGGAGGCAGCAGUCGGGAAUGUUGGGCAAUGGGCGAAAGCCUGACCCAGCAACGCCGCGUGAAGGAUGAAGUAUUUCGGUAUGUAAACUUCGAAAGAAUGGGAAGAAUAAAUGACGGUACCAUUUAUAAGGUCCGGCUAACUACGUGCCAGCAGCCGCAGUAAAAC